AACGAACGCUGGCGGCGUGCCUAACACAUGCAAGUCGAACGAGAAAGGGGCUUCGGCUCCGAGUAAAGUGGCGCACGGGUGAGUAACACGUAGGUAACCUGCCUCUAAGAUUGGGAUAACUUGUCGAAAGAUGAGCUAAUACCAAAUAAGACCACGGUUUCCUCGGGGACAGGGGUCAAAGGUAGCCUCUAUUUAUAAGCUAUCGCUGAGAGAUGGGCCUGCGUACCAUUAGCAGUUGGUGAGGUAACGGCUCACCAAGGCAAAGAUGGUUAGCUGGUCUGAGAGGAUGAUCAGCCACACUGGAACUGAGACACGGUCCAGACUCCUACGGGAGGCAGCAGUGGGGAAUAUUGCGCAAAUGGGCGAAAAGCCUGACGCAGCAACGCCGCGUGAGUGAUG
rnacentral:rRNA from 1 species